AAUCGUGCGAACCAGGGGACUGAAUAGCCUACCCAGUCUAGCUGCCACGAUCCCUAUCCUCUACAUCUCCUCCCUUGACCGAUCCAGGGGAGAUACCGCCGCCCUCGCGUGUGAUCUCCGCGGAGGCCAGCGCCGUGUUCGGCGUCAUGGACGCAGGCUCAGCCACCUGCACGCGGCCACUGACGCACCCAAUGCGGCGCUACCGCCGACCACCCGCUCAUGCCGCCGUGGUCAGCCGCACCGUCAUGCCCAUCUCGAUCACGCCCUUCUCCCCUCCUCUCUCCCUACUCACGAGCAGUCUUAUCGAGGCAACCCGACGCCGACCAGCCGGCCACGGACAGUGGCAGCGUUCGUCCCUGAGUCUCAAGGUAUGCCGUACAGAGGGGAUCAAGCUGUAUAUUGCUAUGUGGAAUGCUUUGAUUCAAUGGUGUUGUCGGGUUGGGAGCAUGAAACAUGCUCUGUAGUUCUUUGGUUCAAUGCAGGAGGAAGGGAUGUACGUAGACCUGAAGAUUUUAUUAAGAUCAUCCACGGGCUGGGGAAGCAAGGGGAGUGAGAUUAAAUCAAGAUUUUUUUUGACAAAAUGAGGAUUCAAUGGCUCAACGAGAGUAAGCCCCAAGCUAGAUCAUUGUUGUUUUCCUUUAGUAGGAUGUCACAUAAUUCAUUUAGAGUGGAGCAGGAACAUUCAGAAAGGAAAUGUACAUCAUAUAUAUUAGUAUAAUACAUCUGACACUUUCUCGACUUUCACUAAUAGCACAUUGAUCAUAGCAUUUGUAUAGCUCAUUCCGGUGUAAGUCGGGCCAAUUUAGAAAAUAUUUCAAAGGUUAUAGAAGUCAGAGUCAAACAGUACAAUAAGAGAUUUAUUCGUGCAUAAUUUCUAAUUCGUUUGUCUUCUAAGGAUAAAUGGGACUGCUAUCUAGACUGUACCUUAAAAACUAUUAGACCCUGCUUAUAACUAUUUUUCAUCUUGGUGUGGUUUAUAAGGGAGGCCAUGCCAUUAGUUUUUGUUAUCACAGGCCGUGAUGACCCUGAUUCAUUGAUGUAUAGUGUUGUAUGUGGCCAAUUACCUAAGACUGUAGUCACACUUCUCCUGAUUUGCCUUGAUCUGGGAUCUGACUUUUGUACUGGUUGUAGUCAAUCUGAAUUAGUGAGGUACCUUUUGCAACUGUCAUUGUUCAGUUCUCUACAUUAUCAUGCAUUUUCUUUGCUUUAAAGAUGUCAUGAUGUUCACCAUGGCAGAGAAAAUAUAUUUUGAAGUUGUUCCUUCUAUUGAAACAAGUAUGAUUUGGUGUGCCUAUGCACGCAUGAAAGCAAAAGGUCGAGAGGUUUAAAGAUGUCAUGUUUUUACCAUUGCAGAUAUCCUGCUUCUGGUACUUGCCUUCUACCUCACAAUGUUAACACAAAAGUUACUAUAUCUGUCAGACAUGCCCUCUCUCGUUUAAUGAUGUCCUGAAAUUUCCACAUAAAACUUGGUAAUCAUGCCAAGUAAUCAUGCUAAUUUUGAGAGAAGUUCAAGUGGCAUGCCCCCAUUUGCCAUGGUUGCGAUGUAGUAAUAAGCUGCAGGACUAAAUUUUAUUAAUGGACUGAUAUUCUAAAGUUAAAUAUGUAAGAGCAUAUUAUAUUUCUCAUAAUCAACUACAGUUAAGGUUCCAUGCUCUUCCUGCGUUGAACGAGUUAGCUGUUGAGCAGGCUACAGUCUCUUUGUUUGACUAGCUAGGCUGUGUUGUGUACAUGUAAAAGAGGAUCCUUCUCUGGCUACUUGCAUGUAUAUAUGUCUUGAAGCUCUUCGGCAUUUUUUAAGAUAAACUCUUUCCGUUGUUUGACUAGCACAAGGCUCCAAGAGCCCGCAUUUCUGCAUGUAUAUUUUGUUGUACAGCCUAUGCUGAUUUGCCGACUAUAAUUUUCAGAAGGUAAUACGCAGCAACCGAAUUCUCUCGGUAGACUUUGAUUUAGUCAUGUGCUGAAGCAAAUUCUGCCUACCUUAUUCCUCAAGAGUUGAAGAGGAUGGGAAGACACAUGUGCUAAAGCAAAAAAGAUCAGUAUAUUCAGAAUCUACCCAAUGGCUUACCUUAACUUACAUGUAAUGCGAGCCUGCUCACAUAGCAAGAAACGUAUCCUUUUAUUCCGCUAGAAUUGAGUAUCCACUGUUAAAAUUCAUAACUGGAACCACAAAUUACGUGGUCUCUGUGCAAUGUCCCCCGUAACCGGUUGCUCUAUAUCUUUCCUCUCUCAAGCGCACUUUUAUUUCUGUAUUCCAUGCUAUGGUAGUAUUUUUCUGCCGCAACAAUUUGUUUUUGUUAUCUUGUCGGCGAUAGUGGCAGGCCGUUUUAACAGUGCGAUAAUGUCAUGAGCAUUCUAAUUAUAUAGCAGAUGAACUGGCAAAAACAUACUUACACUUUUGAACCUUCAUAAAUUCAGAAAUAAAGUCGAGGUUGUUGCUUAACUGAUCAAGUAAUUGCACUUUUAUAUAGUAUAUAAACUUGUUUCAAAACUUUAGUUUAGUACAUCAACUUGCUGAUAUUUCGGGGAACAGAGUUGACACCGUCAACUAGAUAUGUGGAACUGCACAUGUUCUUGUUGAGUUGCUUCUUGGACAGGUGUGUCUCUUUUUAUGAUAUUUUGUAAGAUUUCAUUUUGGCCCCCACACUAGCAGAUUACUUGGAGUUUACGCUAAUCAUUUGCUUACCAUCCAAUAUUCUCAUCAUUUUCUUCUUAAUAUAAACCAAACUUUGUGUGUACUGGAUAUGGUUAUUACUCUAUCUGUUGAAGGUGCAAUAAUAUUGUUCUCUUUCUCCUCGAGGACGUCCCCAACCGUGUGAAGGUGUUCAAGGAAGGAGGUUCAGAAUCAUCAUCGUAGAAUGGAGACGCUGCACAUGUUGUCAUCAUGGUAUGGAGUGGCUACAACUCUAAGUGGAGGUGGUGUAUAUGUCGGAGUGAUUUAUUCUGUAAGCAUUUUCUUUACGUGUGGUGUUUGAUUUUUUUACCAAAUCACACUUGGUGUAUAAGUUUCGGCCCAUAUUGAUUUGUAGUGACAAA